ensembl:lncRNA
CUGUGAUGUAAACAACGACCACUACUUCCGGUUAUGGCCGCAGGUAUGUUUUUUCCUGAUUUCUAAAGCGGUUUGCGGGAAAUUAAAUUGAUAUUUUUUGCACACUCUGUUUAUUUCAUAUCACUAAUUUUAGAACUAGUAUCAGUUUUACGGAUAUUUUUUAUGGUUUUUGGUGCUGAGCGCGCUAACAGCUAGUUAAAAAAAACUGACUUGAUAGCACAUUGUUAAGCUAGUUACGUUUUUCUCGUUUCGACCGCAUUUGCAGCAGUUUAAACGCAACUGUCCAUUUCUCGCUGUAAACAUCAAUGCCCAGACCUCUACUCAAGGAAGUAAAGGAGACUUUCAAGGAGUGAACUUUGAUGGUGAUGGAGAGUGAUGGAUAACCCGACAGCAAAUAAGAGCCACAUUCCCUGUCCGUCUUGGAUGGCCCAGAAUGGCUGGUCAGCAGCUUCAUCUCAGAACCCGCUCGUCAGCCUUCUCCCCACCUCCUAUGAGCAUAUGCAGGCACCCAAUCAGAGUUGUACUAACAACUUGAACACUGUAUCUUCCAGAAACAACCCUCAUGCUGACAUGUAUAAAACCUCUCAUAUUGGCAGCAUUCCAUCAUCCAGCUCGCUGUUUGCCACAGAUAUCCCAAAUCUCUCUCAAGGUAUUUCUUUUAAUCAGCAAAGCUCUAACCUUUCAUCGAUCAUGGUAUCAGCGAACCAAGGAAAAAAUGUUACCCCACCAGCUCUUCGACAGUCAAACCAAGGACUUCAGCUUUGUGGGCCCCAGGAUUUAUCUGUUCUCUCAUCCCACAAUGCCUUCAAAACAUUUCAAAAUCCAAUAUCCAGUCAGGGUUUGUCAAGUGGGAUUCAAGGUCUACCCCCCCGCCUGCCGUCAUGCAGACAACAUCAAGCUGCUUUUGAAGGAGAAAAUGUGGAGUCCGCUCAUGGUGCAGGAAACACUCAAAGCUAUACCUCAUCCACCUCUCAGGAGCAGCCUGAGUGGUUACCUUCAUCACAUUGCAGAGGAGCUGUGAAUGACCCUGUCCCAAAAGCAGCUGUUCAAAACACAAAUAGAUCUACUACGGCCAGCAGUGAAAAGCGGCGUUCAGAUGUUUUACAGCAGCGCGCUGAGCUGCUUAAACAACUGGCAGAGAUGGAUAAACUUCUGAAAGCAUUGCCAUCAGAUAACAGCAGCGAUGGGCAGUCGUCAGAUGAUGAGCCACCUCAGUGUGAACAGACUGCUGCAAAUUCAAAGUCGCGUAAUUCAGCAAAUGGUUCUUCACCUUCAUACUAUGACGAAGAAAAUGAUGCUUGUGAUACGCCAGAGUCACCUGCAGAAUCGCUGAAAAAGGAAGUUGUUUCAGACAUGUCAGGGGACGACGAUGAUCAGGAUUACUCACCAGGGAGUGAUGAAGAGUUCAAAGAAGGUUCUUCAGAUGAAUCCAGUCAUAGCGAUCCAGAGUCCCCCGUGAGUGAAGAACCGCACCAAGAAGAGCAGAACUCAAAAUCAGAAAAUUCUUCAGGAAAGGAUAAAGGAGUCACUCCUGUAAAGAGGAAACCUAUGAUUAGUCAGGCAGAAGCGUCACAAACGCCAGUGUUGCCAGCUGUAAAACGACCAAAUUCAAAAGCUCGAUUUUAUGACAAGAAGAAUUACUGCUUAUUUUGCUCCAAGGCUGUAUUAAAACUGUCACGGCAUUUUGAGUCAAUUCACAGUGACAAACCAGAGGUUGCAGCUGCAUUUCAGUAUCCCAAACACUCCAAAGAAAGACAAAAUAUAUGGAAAAAAUUAACAAAUGAAGGAAACUUUGCACAUAAUAAAAAUGUUUUGAAAACAGGAGAGGGAACUCUUGUCGUACGACAAAGACCGAAAGUGCUUGGACAGGCCCGUGACUUUCUUCCUUGUCUUCACUGUCAUGGUCUUUUUGUGAAGAGAAACCUGUUCAAACACAUGAGGACGUGCCCAGCGAAAAGCAAGAUUGAAAAGGAUUCAGGUAUUGGAAAAAAGCGCAUUGCAUCAAUGUGUGUGCUGGCAACUGUGGACUGUGAAGACCGUGGCAUAAGUGAUGUCUCUAGGAGCAUUCUGAAUGAAAUGAUAUACGAUGAUGUGACGCGAGCUGUCAUGGAUGACAGGAUUCUCUUGCAGUUUGGGGAAUACAUGUACAAUCAUUAUGGCCGUGAUGCGAAAAAGCACCCAUAUAUAAGACAAAACCUUCGUCAGAUAGCAAGACUUGUGCUUGAGGCUCAAAAAACGACCCCAAUGAAGAAGCUGGAGGACUUCUUUCACCCUUCAAACUUCCAGCGUGUGGUGUCUGCAGUGAACGUCCUGGCAGGCUAUGAUUCAGAAACUAAAAUUUACGCCGCUCCUUCCGUUGCAAUCAAGCUUGGUCACAGCCUGCAGAAGACCUGCAGUAUUGUUAAGGAUAACGCGGUAAAGUCUGGUGAUACAAAACAGGCAGAGGCUGCUAAAAACUUCCUCUCUGUGUACCAAAAGAAGUGGACUAAGCUUGUUUCUUCGGCCGCAUUAAGAAGUCUCAGAGAAAUUAAAUCAAAACGAGCAAAGCAGAUACCACUUGUUCAAGAUAUGAAGCGCUUGCAUUUCCACUUGGAGAAGGUUCAUACUACAGCUGAGAAGAAUCUACGAGACAGUCUUUCUACAGAAAAUUUUGUCGCUCUGGCCAGAGUCAUGCUUUCCCGGAUAAUCCUCUUCAACAAGAGAAAGCCUCGAGAGGUUGCAACGAUUCAGCUGACGGAAUUCAUGUCACGAACAAAGUCAGAUCCGCCUGAUGACUUGGACCUGUCUGUCACAGAGUUGGAAAAAACCAUGUGUAGGUUCUUCUCCAGAGUUGACGUACGUGGGGACUGUGGGAGAAAAGUCCCUGUUUUACUGAAGCCCUCAUUUGAGUCGGCUCUGGAGCUUCUAGUGGAUUCUCGUGAGGCAUGUGGGAUCACCAGUAAGAAUCCCUUCGUCUUUGCCCGACCAAAUGCUCUGUCUAACUACAGGGGGACAGAUUGUCUUCAAGGAUUUAUCAAAGAAUGUGGAGCUCAAAACUCUGAAGGUCUGACAUCAAAAAAUGUCCGCAAGCAUUUUGCAAAAAUGCUACAACUGAUGAACCUGGAUGAAAAUGAAGCCAACCAAAUUUUUGGGCCUAAUAACAAAAUCCAGAUCCUGCGGCAGUGCAAUGACUCCACACUGGAUGAUAUUGAAAUGGAUUCUGAAGCUGACUCGUGGGAUCAUAGUGAAGGCAGACCAGCAUCUCUUAAUCAACAAAAACAUGGAGGAAAAAGUGCCAACAAAUCUAUCAGAGGCUCCAAAUGUACACCCAAACACGUAUGGGGGGAUGCUGAGGUUCAUGCUGUAGAAAAACACAUGAUGCGCUUCAUUCAGGAGCACAAAGUGCCCCAGAAGGACGACUGCGUCAAGUGUCUUGAAGCUGAGGCAAAAGCACUGAGGAACCGCACGUGGAAAGGUCUAAAGAACUACGUCCGAAACAGGAUCACAACUCUGAAAAGACAAAAUGACUCUUCGCAGGAUUCUCCGACCAGCUGCAAAAGGCCCAGAGAAGCAGAACCACAGCAAACGAGACAGUCUUCGAGUGGACGACAAGCUGACUCACAGGAUCACGAUGAAGGUUCUACUGCAGACAGUGGAGAGGCACCUUUUAAUCAUCAAAAAGCACAUGGAGAAACAAGAAGCUCCAGCAAGACUACACGUCCCAAAUCUGUCAAAUCAGGUGGACAUGGUUCCCUUCAUAAAACUAAACACACGUGGGAGGAGGCAGAGGUCCACGCUGUAGAAAGACACAUGAUGAGUUUCAUUCAAGGCCACAAGGUGCCUCAGAAAGACGACUGCAUAAAGUGUCUUGAUGCUGAGCCAAGAGUGCUGAGAAAUCGCACGUGGAAAGGUGUAAAGGACUACGUCAGAAACAGGAUCACAACCCUACAAAGACAAAGCGGCUUCUCCCUGGAUUCACCGAAAAGCAGGAAAAGGCCCAGAAAAUCAGCAGAGCCACAGCAGAUGAGACAGUCUGCAGGUGGAGAACAAGCCAGUUCAUGGGAUCACAAUGACUCCUAUGCAGGUGGUGGAACAGAAAUGUUUUAUGAUCAACAAGAAGAUGAAGAAACAACAAGCUCCAGCAAAACGAGCAGAUCUGUCAAAUCCAGUGAGAAAGGUUUCCACCUUAAAACUAAACACACGUGGGAGGAGGCAGAGGUCCACGCUGUAGAAAGACACAUGAUGAGUUUCAUUCAAGGCCACAAGGUGCCUCAGAAAGACGACUGCAUCAGGUGUCUUGAUGCUGAGCCAAGAGCGCUGAGAAACCGCACGUGGAAAGGGGUGAAGGACUACGUCAGAAACAGGAUCACAACCCUGCAAAGACAAAGUGACUGUUUCCAAGAUUCACCAAAAAGCAGGAAAAGGCCCAGAAAAUCAGCGGGACAGCAGAGUACUCCACAUUACCAACAGCUGUAGAUUUGAUAUGAUGUUAAUACUCAAACCUGCAACAUUUCACAUCCUUCAGCUGACUUAUUGUUCUUUAGUCUUUCUGUCCAUUUGUAUAUCAGAUGUGAGAAUAUCUUUCCAUUAUGGUUCUCAGUUUUUGUUUUCUUUUUUUUUAUGUUUUAUUUUAUCAAGUUUGUUUAACAGAGACUGUUCAUGAAUACUGAAAAAUUACUGUUUUAUUCACAUUUAGAUAAAAGGUUUUUUUUAUGGUGUUCCUGGGUACUGUGACCAAUUUUGAAUACAGUAUCUGGUUACAUUGGUUGGUAUACUGGCACAUGAUGCUUUGUUAAAAUAAAUGUUCAACAGUAAAGUCUCAAAAAUAAUAUUGUAGCUUUUUUUUUGGCCAGGGGGGCAAAACCUUGUAUCUUGAUGGCACAUUAUUGUACACCAAGAGUGUACAGGAGUGGUAGGAAAAUUAGUCAUUCAGAAUGUUUGAAUUUGAUCAAAUAUAACUAUAAAAGGUUCA